CCGCGAAUAGCUCAUUACAAUAGCCGUUGUUUCUUGGAUCCUCAAUUUACUUGGAUACCUGUGGUAAUUCUAGAGCUAAUACAUGCGACUAAGGGCCGAACUCACGUGACGCUUGCAUUUAUUAGAUCAAGACUAACCGGCUUCGGCCGUUAACUUGGUGACUCUGAAUAACUCAGCUGAUCGCACGGUCUAGUGCCGGCGACAUAUCUUUCAAGUGUCUACCUUAUCAACUGUCGAUGGUAGUUUAUGUGACUACCAUGGUUGUAACGGGUAACGGAGAAUCAGGGUUUGACUCCGGAGAGGGAGCCUGAGAAACGGCUACCACUUCUAAGGAAGGCAGCAGGCGCGCAAAUUACACAAUCUCAGCACGAGGAUGUAGUGACGAAACAUACCGAGGCGAUGCCCUUUCGGGUGUCGUCAUUGGAAUGAGUCGAAUCUAAAAAAUUCGGCAAGGAUCUAGUGGAGGGCAAGUCUGGUGCCAGCAGCCGCGGUAAUUCCAGCUCCGCAAGUGUAUAUCUAUGCUGUUGCGGUUAAAAAGCUCGUAGUUUGAUUCGCGUACUUAGCACGCAGUGUGGCCUUUCGGCUACUACUGUGAUGCGGUACAUUAUCGUCAGUUUGUCGUUGAUGCUCUUCAUUGGGUGUCAGCGGCGGCUGUCAAGUUUACUUUGAACAAAUUAAAGUGCUCAAUACAGGCGUUUCGCUUGUAUAGUUCUGCAUGGAAUAAUAGAAUAGGACUUACGUUCUAUUGUGUUGGUUUUCAGAACGAAAGUAAUGAUUAAGAGGGACAGACGGGGUCAUUCGUACUGCCACGUUAGAGGUGAAAUUCUUGGAUCGUGGCAAGACGAACUACUGCGAAAGCAUUUGACAAGAAUGUUUUCAUUAAUCAAGAACGAA
rnacentral:rRNA from 1 species